rnacentral:tRNA from 1 species
ACCUGGCUGGCUCAGUCGGAAGAGCAUGGGACUCCUGAUCUUGGGGUUGUGAGUUCAAGUCCCACACUGGGUG